rnacentral:rRNA from 1 species
UAUCUAAUUAUUAUAGCGAAUAUAAUUGAUCUCAUUCCGAACUCAAGUAAAUAUAUUUAGCGCUUAUGGUAGCAUUUAUUUGUGAGAGUAAGAAAUAAUUAGAUAA